GGGUUGGCUGUUUUUGGCCGUUUUCGGCCGAAUUCGGCCACACUCGCAUCGGUCCUUGUGAGAAAACAACCCUAGGGCCCUCGGGGGGCAAAAAAAUCACAGAAAAACGGAGCUUACCGGCGGCGGCGCUCUCGGGUGCGGCGGCUCUCCAGCGAGGUUCGUGUUUUGGUGAUUCGGCUCCGGUCAAUCUAUAGAGAAAAGAAUGGUGAUCACGGUGAUAUAAAAAUUGCAUCGAACGGAGGCCGGGAAGGGCCUCGUCGGAGGCAAAAACUGAGAGGGGGCGCGGUGGCGUCGCUGGGCUUCGGCCGCGUAUUCCGGCCGUUUGGCCGGGAUUUCAGCCUCGAUUUGGCCAUAGGAGGAAUCAGCGUGGAAAAACAAGUCAGGGGUACGAAAUUUACCUCGAUCGGCGGUCGGAAGUUCCU
rnacentral:lncRNA from 1 species